rnacentral:rRNA from 1 species
CCUACGGGAGGCAGCAGUGGGGAAUAUUGCACAAUGGGGGAAACCCUGAUGCAGCAACGCCGCGUGGGCGAUGGAGCGCUUCUGCGCGUAAAGCCCUGUCAGCGGGGAAGAAGAAAGACGGUACCCGACCAUGAAGCCCCGGCUAACUCCGUGCCAGCAGCCGUGGUAAUACGUAGGGGGCGAGCGUUGUCCGGAAUUACUGGGUGGAAAGGCUGCGUAGACGGCGUGGUAAGCCUGAAGUGGAAGCCCGCGGCCCAACCGCGGGACUGCUUUGGGGACUGUUUAGCUGGAGUAUGGGAGGGGUAAGCGGAAUUCCUGGUGAAGCGGUGAAAUGCGUAGAUAUCAGGAGGAACACCGGUGGCGAAGGCGGCUUACUGGACCAUAACUGACGUUGAGGCUCGAAAGCGUGGGGAGCAAACAGGAUUAGAUACCCUAGUAGUC